AGUGAACGCUGGCGGUAGGCCUAACACAUGCAAGUCGAACGGCAGCACAGUAAGAGCUUGCUCUUACGGGUGGCGAGUGGCGGACGGGUGAGGAAUACAUCGGAAUCUACUUUUUCGUGGGGGAUAACGUAGGGAAACUUACGCUAAUACCGCAUACGACCUACGGGUGAAAGCAGGGGAUCUUCGGACCUUGCGCGAAUGAAUGAGCCGAUGUCGGAUUAGCUAGUUGGCGGGGUAAAGGCCCACCAAGGCGACGAUCCGUAGCUGGACUGAGAGGAUGAUCAGCCACACUGGAACUGAGACACGGUCCAGACUCCUACGGGAGGCAGCAGUGGGGAAUAUUGGACAAUGGGCGCAAGCCUGAUCCAGCCAUACCGCGUGGGUGAAGGAGGCCUUCGGGUUGUAAAGCCCUUUUGUUGGGAAAGAAAAGCAGCAGGUUAAUACCACGCUGUUCUGACGGUACCCAAAGAAUAAGCACCGGCUAACUUCGUG
rnacentral:rRNA from 1 species